AGAUAUUAUGUAAGCUUUGAUUUUCUACCAUUUGUUAAAGAUUAAAGAGUGAAGUAGGAUGGAGGAGAUGAAUAACAACAACAUUGAGAUGGAUAAAUAUAAACAAAGCCCCCCAGCGGAGACGGUCAACCCAGGAUAUAAAGAUGAAAACAAACCGACAUUUGUCAAAGCAAGAAAAACAAAACGUCUCAGGAUGAGAAAAUCCCUGGUGAAGGUGAAACGAAACCUCCAGGCAAAUAAAGUAACAACACAAUUUUUUCCACCACAAGGCGAGGUUGCCACCAACCUUACUCUAAUUGUAGCAGUUAUUAUCAUCUUCUUCUGUGCCCGAGCUGUCCUGGGCACAAUAGCAGCUCCUGGAGGAACUAUAUUUGCUCUUUUUAUUCUCAUUCUUCUCUCACUCAUUGCGGGACAAAUUGUAAUACAAGUAGCUUCUUGGAUAUCGAAGCUUGUGGGCAUAGAUAUCAAGAUACCUCCUCUGCUUGGAAUGAUGGCUGUUGGGAUUACUCUUAAAAAUGUUCCUUACAACUUUGGCCAGUUUGGUAGAGCUGAGUGCAUUGGGAAUGUUUCAGUUGAGUUUGCAGACUCUCUUCAUAACUUUGAGAUAAAUUCAUCUGAAUUUGAUGAGGAACUAAUGGGAUUUACAGUAAAACCUUCCAUCAGACUGCAUGACAUAUAUGGAGCUGAAGCCCAGCAUUCUCUUGAUCAUACUGUGUCUGAAAACCAGCGUAUAUCAAGCAAUGUGGACCAACAUGAAGUCUUUCCUCUAAAUGAUCAUGAAUAUAAUCCUAGUACGGCUGAUGAUACUCUGAGCAAUGUUGUUCAAAAAUCUACCCCAUACCAGGAACGGUUGCAGGGGAUUAUUCAGAACCAUAUUGACACACUGACUAAAAUUGGUGAGCUUCAUCAAGAAUUGACCAAACCAACUACUCCAUCAGAUGAAGAUGUUAUAGGAAGUAAGCAUCCUAAAAUGAAUGUUUUUAAAUCCCCCAAAUGGCCAACUGACCACAGUUCAGAGGAAAACAUUUUAAACUUGAUGGAUUCAAGACAUAAAAGAACCUUACGUAGUGAACAUGCUGAAGAAAGUACUUCACUGCCUGAGGAUUCCUGUAAGAAAAGAUUCAUUGGGCAUGAACUUGAUCCCUUGCUGUCUCGAACUCUAAGAUCCAUAUGUCUGACAGUUAUUCUACUCAUGGCAGGCCUAGAACUAGAUCCUCCUGCACUCUGGAGACUUAAAUGGAUUGUACUCAGAACUACAUUUAUUCCUUGCCUUGUAGAGGCAUUUGCAGCAUCUUUAUUUUGCUAUUUGAUCCUUGGAUUUCCCUUUCUUCCUGGUCUAUGCUUUGGAUUUGUUCUCUGCGGAGUAUCUCCAGCUGUUAUUAUUCCAGGAUUGGUGAAUCUGAGUCAGAGAGGAUACGGAGUAAAGAAGGGAAUACCAACACUGGUUAUUGCAACAUGUUCUGCUGAUGAUCUUGUGGCUAUUGGAGGAUUUGGUAUUGCACUUGGUAUCACUUUUAAUCCAGAUGCUUCAAUUACCGAUCUUGCCAGCCAUGGUCCAAUUGAAGUCACCAUGGGUAUUGGAUUUGGAAUCUUCUGGGGUUAUGUAUGCCAGUGGCUCCCAAGUAGACAUAACAAAGAUUAUAUCCUGUUCAGAUUUAUUAUACUUUUUUGCGGAGGUCUCUUUGCCUUGUUCGGAGCCCAUCUAAUCCACUAUGACGGUGCAGGUGGUCUGGCGUGCGUGAUCAUGGCAUUUGUUGCCUCAAUUCAGUGGAGAAAAGAAGGAUGGGGAGAUCAUAAUCCCAUAACUGACAUCUUUGGGAAAAUGUGGAUUAUCCUCGCUCCCAUCAUAUUCUCUCUGAUCGGAACUAAUAUCCAGGUUGAUAAGAUGAACGGUGAUACUGUAGGGUUAGGAGUUGCCGUUAUAGUUUGCUGUAUUCUAACAAGAAGUUUUUUUACCUAUUGGUCUGCAACAUUUGGAGGACUAAACACCAAGGAAAAGUUAUUUCUAAGCCUGGCCUGGCUUCCAAAAGCCACAGUUCAAGCUGCCUUAGGUCCAGUAUUUUUGGACAAUGCUUUGAGGUCCGGAAUAACAGAAUUUGUUCCGUACGGAGAACAGAUUCUCAAUAUGGCAGUUCUAUCAAUUGUGAUCAGUGCUCCCUUGGGAGCCGUCCUAAUCCUAGCCACAGGGCCCUUGCUUCUCCAUUCUGAUUUAGAGGUUAAAGGAAGCACAGAUGAGGGAUCUGAUCUGGAAGAAGCUGAGAAGGAGGAGGAGGGGCAGGAAGAGGAUGCUGAGGAGAGAGAGGAAGAGGAUGCUGAGGAUAGAGAAGAUGAGGAGAGGGUGGAGGAAAACGCGAAUAAAUCCUUCAAAAAUAAUUCUAAGAUGUUAAAUAAUGAAAUGGAAAGUGUGGACGUAUGUCAGGGGGAUCUUUCUGUAGACAAUAAAAAGAUCGUAAAAGAACAUUUGAACUAAAGAAGCGAGAUAAACAUUGAAAAGCAUUUCAGUAUUUUCCUAUAUAUCCAGUUAUUCCCCAUUUUCAAUAUUUUCUUUUAUUUUGAUCUGGCUGAAAAUUGAUAUGACUAUAACAGUCAAAUUGCCUACACUUUUCUCAGAAAUCCAUCGGAUUAUCUACAAUUUAAUUUUUUGCUGAAAAUUCGUUCGCAGAAUUAAAUAAAAAAUAGCUUUUUUGUAAACAUUAAGUAAUCUUUAUAUGUACCUAUUCUCAAGAUUCAGCUCCGACCGAUUUUAAUGUUAAUAUUUAAUUAUUGUUCUAGUUUAACCUGAUUUUAUCUAAUUAUAACCAUUUGAAUCAUUAGACUUCUUAAAAUAAACUUGUGAUGAUA
rnacentral:misc_RNA from 1 species